rnacentral:rRNA from 1 species
GUGGUGCAUGGUUGUCGUCAGCUCGUGUCGUGAGAUGUUGGGUUAAGUCCCGCAACGAGCGCAACCCUUAAGCUUAGUUGCCAUCAUUAAGUUGGGCACUCUAAGUUGACUGCCGGUGACAAACCGGAGGAAGGUGGGGAUGACGUCAAAUCAUCAUGCCCCUUAUGAUUUGGGCUACACACGUGCUACAAUGGACAAUACAAAGGGCAGCGAAACCGCGAGGUCAAGCAAAUCCCAUAAAGUUGUUCUCAGUUCGGAUUGUAGUCUGCAACUCGACUACAUGAAGCUGGAAUCGCUAGUAAUCGUAGAUCAGCAUGCUACGGUGAAUACGUUCCCGGGUCUUGUACACACCGCCCGUCACACCACGAGAGUUUGUAACACCCGAAGCCGGUGGAGUAACCUUUUAGGAGCUAGCCGUCGAAGGUGGGACAAAUGAUUGGGGUGAAGUCGUAA